CGUACACUCCUGCGGGAGGCAGCAGUGGGGAAUAUUGCACAAUGGGCGCAAGCCUGAUGCAGCCAUGCCGCGUGUAUGAAGAAGGCCUUCGGGUUGUAAAGUACUUUCAGCGGGGAGGAAGGCGAUAAGGUUAAUAACCUUGUCGAUUGACGUUACCCGCAGAAGAAGCACCGGCUAACUCCGUGCCAGCAGCCGCGGUAAUACGGAGGGUGCAAGCGUUAAUCGGAAUUACUGGGCGUAAAGCGCACGCAGGCGGUCUGUCAAGUCGGAUGUGAAAUCCCCGGGCUCAACCUGGGAACUGCAUUCGAAACUGGCAGGCUAGAGUCUUGUAGAGGGGGGUAGAAUUCCAGGUGUAGCGGUGAAAUGCGUAGAGAUCUGGAGGAAUACCGGUGGCGAAGGCGGCCCCCUGGACAAAGACUGACGCUCAGGUGCGAAAGCGUGGGGAGCAAACAGGAUUAGAAACCCUAGUAGUCCCA
rnacentral:rRNA from 1 species